GUGAGGCAGAUGGAGCUCCCUUGUAAUUACUUAUAGAGGCGUGGCCUGUUGCCAAGGUAACGGCUGCAGUAACAGCAAAGAAAUUGAUAUCUGAAUUUGUGUGCAGGUAUGGCCUACAUGAAACGGUUGAGAGAGCAAAUAGCGUAUUAAAAAUGUCUAAGAUCUGUGAGCAAACAAAACUUACAUGGGUACAAGCUUUACCAGUAGAUCCUUUUGCAAUGAGGUAUACCCCAAAGGGAUUACAUGGACUUUCAGCAUUUGAGAUACUGUUUGGCAGGCUGCCACUCAAAUUGCAUGGACAGUACGCUUCUCUUACUGACUACGUUGUUCAGCUUCAUAAGCCACUGACUAAUUUGCAUGGCAAAGUGUUUUCUUCUUUACCAGAUCCACAAGACACAUCUGGAACCCCGAUUUGAUGGCCCAUACCAGGUGCUAUUGACCACAGUGACCUCCGUCAAGGUGGAGAGGAAAGUACGCUUCUCACUGUAAGAAAAUUAACUUUCAGGUCAAUGAUGCAAACUGGUCCCAAAAGAAUGGGGCCCCCGGGGAGAAGAGAACUGAAUGGACUGUUAAGAUACGCUUGUUUUUCUGCCUGCUUGUUUGUGCUUUAUAUCAGUGUGUGCAGGUGAAAGGAGAAAAGCAAAAGAACUCUAUAUGGCUUCUACAUCAGCAGACAGCUAAGGAGCUGAACGCCACUGACUGUUGGAUCUGUUCUUAUGUUCCUGCUAACCAUAAAGGAAUCCCUUUGAUUGGUAUCCCUAUCUCAAUGAAUGAUCUUAACCUCACAGAUUAUAGCUAUAAUGUUGAAAUAGACAUAAAUCACACUGCUCACAAUGCUCUUUCAGACCUAGGAAUAUAUUUAGAAAUUGCUGGUAUAAUCUCUCUGCCCACUAUGUGUAUAGGGCCUAUGUUUAUUAACCACGUGGCCGAACUAAAAGGUCACCUAGUCAACUUACCUAAGGUAUACGUUGGAGAAACAAAUUGUAAAAAUGCUGCCUUAGUGUUUAACAUAGAAUACAAUGAAAAGUUAUGUGACAAGGUGAACGGUAACUGUAACAAUCAAUGUUGGUGUGCAAAUAUGAAAGCAUUUUGUGCCCCUAGGUGUGCCUGUCCUAACCAGAUGGAUGAGAAUGAUUGGGAUUGUAAGACCCAAGUGCACAAUAAUAUGGUAUGGUUUCAGAGCUUGUUGGGAAACCAUGGUAAGAUAAUCCCUAGGGUGCUGAAGCAAGGCCUAUACUAUAUUUGUGGAAAUAGGGCCUACUCAUGGCUUCCUAUGGGAGCUUGGGGGAAUUGCACUAUAGGAAGAGUUGUGCCAGCCAUAAGACAGCGUGAGAACAUCUCUUUUACCAAUAUGAUAGAAACAGGCCCUAGAGAGACUAGAUACAAGAGAGAAUUGUUUACUGCAGCAGAUAAAGCCUGGAUGUGGUUCCCUGCCUGGACAGGCUGGGGAAUUGAAUUAGCAAAUAAGUUAAAUAAAUAUGCAAAUAUUAUGGAUGGGAUAAUUAAUGAGACCACAAGUGCCAUCCAUGCUAUCAGUGAGGAAAUGGCUCAAAUUAGGAAGGUGACCCUACAAAAUAGGAUGGCUCUCAUUUACUUGUUAGCUAUGGAGGGAGGAACGUGUGCUGUUAUAUGGGAGGAAUGAUGUACCUGGAUUGAGGACUCACAUGACCCCAUAGAAGAGCACAUGAAUAAAGUAAAGGAAUUACAGAA